AACCCUUCUGUUUCUCUGGAAGGAAAAUAAUAAUAAUAAUAAUAAUGGGUCAGACAGAGGAACAGAGAUUGUUGAAAAAGGUGAUGAGAUCGGCAGGUGUCAGCGACGCCAUCAAUCGGCGUUCCCAGAGAAAUUGGGCAAGACAGAGACUUUUUCUUACCCUCUGAUUGCUAUUUAGGGCUUUUAUCUCAUUCUUUAGGGUUUCUUAUUAUUUUUUGUUUUCACUCUCUGUGGUGUAUCUUAACUUCUACUUUGUCUUUGGUGUGCAGGUGUUUGAAAGCACAAAUCAGAGCAAAGAACAGAGGAUUCCAAAUGUUUAAUGGUAAAGGUUGUGGUUACCGAGUAAUUGUUUUGGGAGUGACUGAACCGAAGAAGCAUCAUUGAGAUUGCUGGUGAUCAUGGUUACCAGUUUCUGACUUCAAAUUUGGAUGGGGAAACUAAUGUAACGAUCAGAAAGGCAUCUGAAUGGAAUAGGGAUUGUUUAACUCCAGAGAAAGUGUCUGCAUUUUGGUUGGCAAGGAGAGCACGUUACAUUCAAGCAUGUCUAGUGCAUGCUUACUUUGCAAAGGUAUAAAUAAUUUUUCUUGUCGUUUUGUACCUUAUUCUCAAUUGAUCUAUCUUUUACCUUUCAAAAAAUAAAAUUCUCGUAUUUAUUAGUCAUGUUCAAAAACUCUAAGUGGUGAUCUAUGUGACAUUUGCUUAAAGUCCUACCGCCAUGACAUUACAGUUUAUCCUCAAUAGUUUAUCAGUUUUAUAUUUUUGCUCAUUACGUUUGGUUUUGUUUAUCUUACGAUAUGUAUAUUUCCAUGACAGACUUGCUUACCUGCACAUGUACAUGUUUUUAUUUUUUAUUUUUUAUUUUUUAAUUUUUUUUUUGGGUAAAUCACAUGUACAUGUACUUGGAUGAUAGUCUUGCUGAUAAUUUUCAUUUUUUAUUUCUGUAGUAAUUACAGCUGGUCUUUGGCUUCCCUCUAUACACAAUAAAAGACUUUUCAUUAUGUGUAAAUAAGAAAAUGUCAGGGGUGUAUGUAUAUUUGUUGUAAAGCGAGGUUGAGUCCCGCUGUACUCUUUGUCAAUAAAAAAAUAUGAAA